rnacentral:rRNA from 1 species
CCUACGGGUGGCUGCAGUGGGGAAUAUUGCACAAUGGGGGAAACCCUGAUGCAGCGACGCCGCGUGAGUGAAGAAGUAUCUCGGUACGUAAAGCUCUAUCAGCAGGGAAGAAAAUGACGGUACCUGACUAAGAAGCCCCGGCUAACUACGUGCCAGCAGCCGCGGUAAUACGUAGGGGGCAAGCGUUAUCCGGAUUUACUGGGUGUAAAGGGAGCGUAGACGGGAGCACAAGUCUGGAGUGAAAUCCCGGGGAUUAACCCCGGAACUGCUUUGGAAACUGUGCGGCUGGAGUGCAGGCGGGGUAGGCGGAAUGCGUGGUGUAGCGGUGAAAUGCGUAGAUAGUAGGAGGAACACCGGUGGCGAAGGCGGCUUACUGGACUGUAACUGACGUUGAGGCUCGAAAGCGUGGGGAGCAAACAGGAUUAGAUACCCUAGUAGUC